rnacentral:lncRNA from 1 species
AAAAGCGCAACACCUCCCAGGGAAUUGAGCGAACUAAGUAUUUGGUCGAGCAAUACAAGAAGUUGAAAGUUGAUGAUGAUUUCGUGGUCGAAUUGAAUAUCACUUCCUCUCAGCAGAACAAUGAUUGGGUAAAACUUAAGGAACGAAUUCGUCCAGUAUGGGGUGGAUUGUAAUUAAGACAUAUGACGCCUUAACUUUUCUUUUUGUAAUUUCGCAUUUGACUUUCACUUUGUG